UGCUGUUUUGUGAGUUAUUCGCUAAACAGACUAUUGAUCGUUAUUCCUCAUUUUUGUUUUCCUUUCUUUUUGCCUCACCUUUACCUUCUUGCAACAUUACAAGAUUGUAUCAUCGGUCUGAUCCGUGAGAGAUAAGAUUCUCUGGUCUGAAGAAACCAAGAUUCAACUCUUUGGCCUCAAUGCCCGGCCAAUACCAUCUAUAGGUUGAUGCAUGGUGGUGGCAGCGUAAUGCAGUGGGAAUGUAUUUCAGCAGCAAGUACUAUGAGACAAUCACAAUCAAGGGAAAGACUUUCAAACUAAACAUCCUGUCAGCAAUGCAGAGACAACAUUCAGA